rnacentral:misc_RNA from 1 species
AGAAGUAAAAGUCGUAACAAGGUUUCCGUAGGUGAACCUGCGGAAGGAUCAAUACUGAGAUGGGAUAACCGCGUGAAGUGCCGUGCCCGUGUGUCGCCUACUUAGGUAGGAUGUAGCACACGGGCGCGGAAUUGUUGUAAUCUAUUAGUGUGGAAAUAACAUAAUUGCAGACAAGGGAUCUCUAGGCUCCC